AACGAACGCUGGCGGCAGGCUUAACACAUGCAAGUCGAGCGCCCCGCAAGGGGAGCGGCAGACGGGUGAGUAACGCGUGGGAAUCUACCCAUCUCUACGGAAUAACGCAUGGAAACGUGUGCUAAUACCGUAUACGUCCUUCGGGAGAAAGAUUUAUCGGAGAUGGAUGAGCCCGCGUUGGAUUAGCUAGUUGGUGGGGUAAAGGCCUACCAAGGCGACGAUCCAUAGCUGGUCGGAGAGGAUGAUCGGCCACACUGGGACUGAGACACGGCCCAGACUCCUACGGGAGGCAGCAGUGGGGAAUAUUGGACAAUGGGCGCAAGCCUGAUCCGGCCAUGCCGCGUGAGUGAUGAAGGCCCUAGGGUUGUAAAGCUCUUUCACCGGUGAAGAUAAUGACGGUAACCGGAGAAGAAGCCCCGGCCAACUUCGUGCCAGCCGCCGCCGUAAUAC
rnacentral:rRNA from 1 species